GUGAUGGUAUUUGGAAGCUGGGUCUUUGAGAUAAAGGUAGAGUUCUCAAGAAUGGGAUUAAUGCACUUAUAAGAAGAGUCCAGAGAGCUAGCUUGCUUUCUUUCCACCACGUGAGGAUACAGAAGAUGGCAGUCUGCAACUAGAAGACCCUCACCAGCAUCUUACCAUGUUGCUGCCCUGAUCUUGGAAUUCCAGCCUCUACAACUAGGGAGGAAACCCCAAGCCUUGGCAGCUUUCACGUGGUGUUGAGCCUGCGGGUGCAUAGAAGUCAAGAAGUGACAUUUGAAAACCUCCGCCUACAUUUCAGAAGAUGUAUGGAAACACCUAGAUGCCCAGGCAGGAGUUUGCUGCAGGGGCACAGAGUCCUCAUAGAGAACCUCCAAUAGGGUAGUGCAGAAAAGAAAUGUGGGGUCAGAGUCCCCACACAGAGUCCCUACUGGGAUAUUGCCUAGUGGAGCUGUGAGAAGAGGGCCACUGUCCUUCAGACACCAGAAUGGUAGAUCUACUGACAGCUUGCACUGUGCACCUGGAAAAGCCACAGACACUCAACAACAGCCCGUGAAAGCCAUUGGGAGGUAGGCUGUACCCUGCAAAGUUACAAGAGUGGAGCUGCCCAAGUCCAUGGGAACCGACCACUAGCAUCAACAUGACCUAGAUGUGAGAAUGGAGUCAAAGAAGACCAUUUUGGAGCUUUAAGAUUUGAUUGCCCUGCUGGAUUUUGGACUUGCAUGGGGCCUAUAGUCCCUUCAGUUUUGCCAAUUUCUCCCAUUUGGAAUGGCUGUAUUUAGCCAUCAACUGUGCCCCAAUGGUAUCUAGGAAGUUACUAACUUGCUUUUGGCUUUACAGGCUCAUAGGCAGAGGGGCCUUGCCUUAUCUCAGAUGAGACAUUGGAUUGUGGACUUCUGAGUUAGUGCUGAAAUGAAUUAAGACUUUGGGGGAUUGUUGGGAAAGCAUGACUGGUUUUGAAAUGUGAGGACAUGAAAUUUGGGAGGCAUGAGGGGCAGAAUGAUAUGGUUUGGCUGUGUCCUCACACAAAUCUCAUCUUGAAUUCACACAUGUUAUGGGAGGGACCCAGUGGGAGGUAAUUGAAUUAUGGGGGCAGGUCUUUCUCAUGCUGUCCUCAUGAUAGUUAAUAAGUUUCACAAGAUAUGAUGGUUUUAUAAAGAGGAGUCUCCCUACACAAACUCUCUCUUUGUCUGCUACCAUCCAUGUAAGACAUGACUUGCUCCUCCUUGCCUUCUGCCAUGAUUAUGAGGCUUCCCCAGCCAAAUGGAACUGUAAGUCUAUUAAACCCCUUUCUUCUGUAAAUUGCCCAGUCUCAGGUACGUCUUUAUCAGCA
rnacentral:lncRNA from 13 species